GGUCUAUGAUUUCUGACGCACGGGUGCGUACACGUAUGCAACCUACCCUUUACAGGAGUAUAGCUCGGGGAAACUCGAAUUAAUGCUCCAUGAAAUAGUUGAAUGGCAUCAUUUGAUUAUUAAAGCUGAGGUGGUAAAGGAUGGGCAUGCGUCUGAUUAGCUAGUUGGUAGUGUAACGGACUACCAAGGCGAUGAUCAGUAGGGGAACUGAGAGGUUGAUCCCCCACACUGGCACUGAGAUACGGGCCAGACUCCUACGGGAGGCAGCAGUAGGGAAUAUUGGUCAAUGGGUGAGAGCCUGAACCAGCCAUGCCGCGUGCAGGAAGACGGCCUUCUGGGUUGUAAACUGCUUUUGCCAGGGGCUAAAAAGUCCAUGCGUGGAAAUUGAAAGUACCUGGUGAAUAAGCCACGGCUAACUACGUGCCAGCAGCCGCGGUUAAUACGUAGGUGGCAAGCGUUGUCCCGGAUUUAUUGGGUUUAAAGGGUGCGUAAGCCGGCUCUGUAAGUCAGUGCUGAAUAUCCCGGCUUAACUGGGAGGGUGGCAUUGAUACUGUGGGGCUAGAGUACAGAUGAGGUAGGCGGAAUUGACGGUGUAGCGGUGAAGUGCUUAGAUAUCGUCAAGGACACCUAUAGCGAAGGCAGCUUACUAGGCUGUAACUGACGCUGAGGCACGAAAGUGUGGGGAUCAAACAGGAUUAGAUACCCUGGUAGUCCACACUGUAAACGUUGAUUACUCGCUGUGUGCGAUAUACAGUACGCGGCCAAGCGAAAGCGCUAAGUAAUCCACCUGGGGAGUACGCCGGCAACGGUGAAACUCAAAGGAAUUGACGGGGGUCCGCACAAGCGGUGGAGCAUGUGGUUUAAUUCGAUGAUACGCGAGGAACCUUACCUGGGCUAGAAUGCCCAUGACCGGUCCAGAGAUGGACUCUUCCGCAAGGACAUGGAGCAAGGUGCUGA
rnacentral:rRNA from 1 species